rnacentral:tRNA from 1 species
GAGGGUAUAGCUCAGUGGUAGAGGGCGUGCUUAGCAUGUAUGCAGUCCUGGGUUCAAUCUCCAGCACCUCCA